GACGGAGGAUGCAAGUGUUAUCCGGAAUCACUGGGCGUAAAGCGUCUGUAGGUGGUUUAAAAAGUCCACUGUUAAAGGUUGAAGCUUAACUUCAAAAAUGCCGUGGAAACUUUUAAACUUGAGUAUGAUAGGGGUAGAGGGAAUUUCCAGUGGAGCGGUGAAAUGCGUAGAUAUUGGAAAGACCACCGAUGGCGAAGGCACUUUACUGGGCUAUUACUAACACUCAGAGACGAAAGCUAGGGUAGCAAAUGGG
rnacentral:rRNA from 1 species